GACGAACGCUGGCGGCGUGCUUAACACAUGCAAGUCGAACAUUGGCGAACGGGUGAGUAACACGUGAGUAACCUGCCCUCCACUUUGGGCUAACUCCGAGAAAUCGGGGCUAAUACUUGAUAGUGGGGGGUGGGCUCGCGGCCUAUCAGUUUGUGGGUUAGGUAGUGGUCACCAAGGCGUGACGGGUAGCCGGCCUGAGAGGGCGACCGGCCACACUGGGACUGAGACACGGCCCAGACUCCUACGGGAGGCAGCAGUGGGGAAUAUUGCACAAUGGGCGAAAGGCUGAUGCAGCGACGCCGCUUGGGGGAUGACGGCCUUCGGGUUGUAAACCUCUGACAGCAAGGAAGCGGUACUUGCAGAAGAAGCGCCGGCUAACUACGUGCCAGCCGCCGCGGUAAUAC
rnacentral:rRNA from 1 species